rnacentral:lncRNA from 1 species
GGGGCCGCGGUCUGCGGGAGGAGCGGCUGCAGGCCCGGGAAUCCGGCCCGGCUGCGUGCGUACCAAGGAGGCGCCUGGAGAGGGCGGCCAAUGACUCAGGCCAGGCCAGGCCAGCAGUGAGCCUCGGGUCCGCCUCCCCUCGGGCCUCCCUCUGCCAGCUGCCCCUGCCUCGCUCUUCCCUGGCACCAGGUCCUUCCCGGCAGCCAUCAGGCGCCAGCUCCACAGCCUGGCUAAACAGACUCCCUCCACCCCACGUGCGCCUCUUCAGCCGGUUCCCGUUCACUCCAAGACGUCUGAACCUGUCACCCCACUUCUUCAGCUCGUUCCUUCUCAAACCCACCGAAACCUGGUCCCGGGGGCCUGCUCACUACAUCCGAGGUGCGCUUUGGGUCCUCGCAGGCAGCAUUUGGCGCUUGGUGAUCGUGCUCUCAUCAGACCUCUCUCUUGGGCACCCCGGCGCCCAUUCCUGGCCCUGGCUCGCUCGCUGUCCCUGGUGGUCUUCCCUGGGCCCUUCUGGCUUCUGCCCUGGAGUUUCUCGACUUCUCCCUACUCUCUCCACCCCACGCAUCCUCCCUGGGGUCCACCUUCCUGCAGAUUCAGCUCCCGCAUGUCCAUGGUACCAGUUCUCUCCCCUGCACGGCCUGCUGGUUUUCCAGCCUGGAAAACCGUGACUUCGCCCGCCAACGUCCGCUUGAGUUGGUCUCGAACUCCUGACCUCAGGUGAUCUGCCUGCCUCGGCCUCCCACAGUGCUAGAAUUGUAGGGGUUAGCCACUGCACCCGGCUGGUCACCUCUUAUUCUUUAAGCUGGAACAAAAAUAGAAGGCUUUCUGCCUGAGGGCAGCAGGCCUGGCUGGUGACAGUGCACAAGUUUGGGCUGCAUGGACCACCUUCUGGGCCAGGCUGUUAGGAGGCCACCACCAAGCAGCAAACGCAGGAGCAGCCGUGCCCUGAGGAGGCACCACCAGCAGCCUCCAGCAGCACUCGGUGAGGCGGGCAACGAUCCAUCUGUGCCGCCAGCAUGGAGCCGGAAGCCACGGCUGACUUGUGCAGUAGAGGAAACAGGAUCUUGCUCUAUCACCCAGUCUGGAGUGCAGUGAUGCAAUCACGGCUCAGCUCACUGCAGCCUCGACCUCCCAGGCUCAAGCCAUCCUCCCACCUCAGCCUCG